rnacentral:rRNA from 1 species
AAUUCGAAGCAACGCGAAGAACCUUACCAGGUCUUGACAUCCCUGACAACCCGAGAGACUCGGGCGUUCCCCUUCGGGGGACAGGGUGACAGGUGGUGCAUGGUUGUCGUCAGCUCGUGUCGUGAGAUGUUGGGUUUAAGUCCCGCAACGAGCGCAACCCUCGACCUUAGUUGCCAGCAUUCAGUUGGGCACUCUAAGGUGACUGCCGGCUAAAAGUCGGAGGAAGUGGGGAUGACGUCAAAUCAUCAUGCCCCUUAUGACCUGGGCUACACACGUGCUACAAUGGGCGGUACAAAGGGUCGCGAACCCGCGAGGGGGAGCCAAUCCCAAAAAAGCCGCUCUCAGUUCGGAUUGCAGGCUGCAACUCGCCUGCAUGAAGCCGGAAUCGCUAGUAAUCGCGGAUCAGCAUGCCGCGGUGAAUACGUUCCCGGGCCUU